rnacentral:piRNA from 1 species
UGACAGCAAUGAAGAGGACUAUGACCC